UCCAGAAGCUAGAAGAGAAAUUUAAUGCCAGUCAAGCACAAAAAAUCCAGCAGCAAGCAACACUUAAGGAGAAAGCAGAAACAGAACUCAGAAAACUGCGACAAAGCCUUUGCUUCAAGGCCAGGCCACUGCCAAAUUUCUAUAAAGAAAGAUCAGCAUCUAAGAAUGAGAUUAAAAAGGUUCCACUGACACAACCUCAGUCACCGAAGGCAGGAAGAAGUUCCACACCCGGCACAGUCCAGAGCAAACUCUCCCAACCUUCUCAAAAGCCUUCAACCAAGAACAUCGACUCCAAUGGAUUACUGGCAAAGAAAAGUCACAAAUCUCAUUCUCUCAAUUCAAGACCUGCAAGGCUUACUCAUGAGAAUACAUCUCCAAAUAUUCAGCAAGAGUAAGCAAAACCAUUCAAGUAUCAUGUUCCUAGGGAAUCAAAUUAUUGUUGAGCAAUGUCGUGCUGCUGAAUGAAUAAGUUGAGUUUUCACGACGCAUGAGACCAUUGGCUACAAAUCGUCACAAUCAUGUUCUGUAUGCAGAGUUUUUCCUGUAAUUAGUCUUUACUAGCUUCAGCUAUUGUAAAAAUCCAUGCAAAAUUGUUGAGCUUA